GCACUCGGUAGAGCCGGCACCCUCCAGCGACCCCCUCUUAGAUUCUUAUUCUGGCUUCAGAAUGGCUUGGGAGUGGUAGGCUUCACCCUCCACGCUUUAGCAGCCAUGAAGUUGAAAGAGAAAAAAUCAAGGCCGAAACCAACAAACUGUGGCAGAUUUCAGAAGAAGGGAAUCAAGGUUGUGGGGAAAUGGAAGGAGGUGAAGAUAGACCCAAAUAUGUUUGCAGAUGGACAGAUGGAUGACUUGGUGUGCUUUGAGGAACUGACAGAUUAUCAGUUGGUCUCCCCUGCCAAAAGUUCCUCCAGUCUUUUCUCAAAGGAAGAGCCCAAGAAGAGAAAGGCUCAGGCUGUUGCAGAAGGAGAGGAGGAAGGAGAGCCUGGCUCCUCAAAGAAAAAGAUGAAGUUGAAGAAGAGUAAAGAUGUGGAAACUGAAGGAACUAGUUCCCAGAAAGUGUUUGAGGUCAAAGAUACUGAGCCAGCGCCCCAGGGAGAGGGCACAGUUUGUCCUGAUCCAGGGGUAGGGGAGAUGGCAUCAGAAAGCCCGGCCCAGACUGUACCGAAAAAGAAGAAAAAGAAAGGGAAAAAAAAAUCAGAGCCUUCCCAGGGUACUUCUCCAAAGAUGCCCAAAAAAGCAAAAACAUGGAUGCCUGAAACGCAUGAUCACAAAGCAGAUGUGUCAGCUUGGAAGGAUCUGUUUGUACCCAAGCCGGUUCUCCGAGCACUCAGCUUUCUAGGCUUCUCUGCCCCCACACCAAUCCAAGCGCUGACCUUGGCACCUGCCAUUCGUGACAAACUGGACAUCCUUGGGGCCGCUGAGACAGGAAGUGGGAAAACUCUUGCCUUUGCCAUUCCAAUGAUUGACGCGGUGCUGCGGUGGCAGGUGAAGAAGAAGCCUACCCCAGCUCUAAGUAACACAGGAGCUCCACCUGGGCAGACCGGCAAUGAGGCUGGAGCUGCGUCUGGAGCUUUGCCUGAUGAGAUUGGAAGUGAGGGUGAAGCACUUUCCAGUGAGGUUGGAGCGAAGACUGGAACACCACCCAGCCAGGCAGGAACCAGUACUGGAGCUGCCUGCUCAGACCAGGGGCUGCCGUCCUGUGAUGGUGAUGUUGACGCCGGCGAAGGACCCUCUUCCCUGAUGAGGGAGAAGCCCAUCCCCAACCAGGAAGGAGACCAGGUGGAAAAGCAUGAUGGAGAGCAGACCGGAAAGGGGAAGCGAGGGUUGGGGGGCAGCGCUGCGCCGCCGCGGCGUCCUCUGCUCGGACUGGUUCUGACUCCCACUCGAGAGCUCGCUGUGCAGGUCAAGCAGCACGUCGAUGCUGUGGCCAAGUUUACAGGCAUUAAAACCGCUAUUCUGGUUGGUGGAAUGUCCACGCAGAAACAGCAGAGGAUGCUGAACCGCCAGCCGGAGAUUGUGAUCGCCACUCCAGGCCGGCUGUGGGAGCUAGUUAAAGAAAAGCACCCUCAUUUGAGCAACCUUCGGCAGCUCAGGUGCCUGGUGAUCGAUGAGGCUGACCGGAUGGUUGAGAAAGGCCACUUUGCUGAGCUCUCACAGCUGCUAGAGAUGCUCAGUGAUUCCCAGUACAACCCAAAGAGACAGACCCUUGUUUUUUCCGCCACACUGACCCUGGUACAUCAAGCUCCUGCCCGCAUCCUUCACAAGAAGCACGCCAAGAAAAUCGACAAAACUGCCAAACUUGACCUCCUCAUGCAGAAGAUCGGCAUGAGGGGCAAGCCCAAGGUCAUUGACCUCACAAGAAAGGAGGCUACGGUAGAGACGCUGACAGAGACCAAGAUCCAUUGUGAGACUGAUGAGAAAGACUUGUAUCUGUACUACUUCCUGAUGCAGUAUCCAGGCCGCACCUUAGUGUUUGCCAACAGUAUCUCCUGCAUCAAGCGCCUCUCCGGGCUCCUCAAAGUCCUGGAUAUCAUGCCACUGACCCUGCAUGCCUGCAUGCACCAGAAGCAGAGGCUUAGAAACCUGGAGCAGUUUGCCCAUCUGGAGGAUUGUGUGCUCCUGGCAACAGACGUGGCAGCUCGGGGCCUGGAUAUUCCAAAAGUCCAGCAUGUCAUCCAUUACCAGGUCCCUCGCACGUCGGAGAUUUAUGUCCACCGAAGUGGUCGGACUGCCCGUGCCACCAAUGAAGGCCUCAGCCUGAUGUUGGUUGGGCCUGAGGAUGUGAUCAACUUUAAGAAGAUUUACAAAACCCUCAAGAAAGAUGAGGACAUCCCACUGUUCCCUGUGCAGACAAAGUACAUGGAUGCGGUCAAGGAGCGAAUCCGUUUAGCUCGACAGAUUGAAAAAGCAGAGUAUCGGAACUUCCAGGCUUGUCUGCACAACUCUUGGAUAGAGCAGGCCGCGGCUGCCCUUGAGAUUGAGCUGGAAGAAGAAAUGUAUAAGGGAGGAAAAGUUGACGAGCAGGAAGAGCGUCGGAGACAAAAGCAGAUGAAGAUCCUGAAGAAGGAGCUGCGCCAUUUACUUUCACAGCCACUGUUUAAAGAUGACCUGAAAACCAAGUAUCCAACUCAGUCGGGCAAGCUACCCGUGCUCAUGUCUGCCCCAAGAAAGGGUGAGUCCGCGCUGAGCUGCCUUUCCAAACAGAAGAAGAAACAGCAGCAGCCCAAGAAGCAGCCGCAGGAGCAGCCUCGGCCGAGCACAAGUGCAGGUUGACCGCCCCGGGCCAGAGUCAGCUGCGACCGCACCGUGGCUGUGUUCUCCGGCUAUAUGGAAACCUUCCCACCUUGGAUCUCACCCCACUGUCAGCUCUGCUUCCAGAAAUCUCCCUCUCUUCCACACCACCCCUCACAGCAGGACAGACCUCAUACAGAUUCAUGUUGUUUCAGAAACCAACGCGUCACCUUGAGUUUCUGCCAGAGUCGGGGGACCCCGUCCAGUCCUUGGGCUGCAGCCUGCACAGUGUGGAUGGAGCAGAGGCGCCCUUGUGCUUAGAUCCGGGCCUGGUGUAAAUAGGAGCUGAGGGAACAUGUGACCUCCUGGCACCACCGCAGCUUCGCCGUCAGUCUGGGCAGAUCCUUCGCCACUGAACCACCAGGAAUCCCCUGCUUUAAAGGAUGUCUUCCCAGCAUCCCCAGUGACGUGGAGGAGAAUGUGAAGUCAGCUUCUGAGUGACAGCUGUCAGAGGACGGCAGGGGCUCUCCCAUCUUCCAGAUGCCAGCAGUGGACGCACAAGCAGACUCAAGGUCCCGCAGCAGCUCCUGGGCCUUGGGAGGCCUAAGGACACUCGUCACAGGCCAAGGAGACCCACUGAUGUCCUUUGACAUCCUGUCCUUGCCCCCUAGCAGAUUCUUUUGUGGUGGGGUAACAUGGUAAAGAGCUGGGUUUUAAAAGAUAGGGCCGGCCUCCAAGGCAGUUUUGCUCUUUGACCCAAUGAGGUGAAGCUCUGGCGAGGCCUGUGGUUCCUUUGGCACUUGCAGCCCAGCCCAAGGACAGAAUUUCCUGAGCGGCUGGACCUUUCACUCAACGAAGACACUCCUGCCCCUGCUGAUCCACUCACACAGACAAGCCCCAUGGGACGGCAGUGUUGAUCUUUGGUGCGGGCCAGGUACCGACUAUUAAGAAGCCAGGACCAAAAGUUGUUAUGGAAACCAUUUUAAUACUAGAAAAGUUUUUAACCAAUUGCCCGAGGAAGCCGUAGGGCCUGGCCUAGCUCCCACAGAACCAGGGGCCCCUGGGGACCCACUCACGGAGCCACAGCCCGUGCCCCUGCCUCUGCUCAGCAUGGCAGUGUGUUUGGUCCUUCAACUUCUUCCCUCUGCCCAGGAAACUACAGAACCACCACCAAGGUGGCUUU